rnacentral:rRNA from 1 species
UUCUCCUACGGGGGGCAGCAGUGGGGAAUAUUGGGCAAUGGGCGCAAGCCUGACCCAGCAACGCCGCGUGAAGGAAGAAGGCUUUCGGGUUGUAAACUUCUUUUCUGAGGGACGAAGAAAGUGACGGUACCUCAGGAAUAAGCCACGGCUAACUACGUGCCAGCAGCUGCGGUAAUACGUAGGUGGCAAGCGUUAUCCGGCUUUAUUGGGUGUAAAGGGCGUGUAGGCGGGAAUGCAAGUCAGAUGUGAAAACUAUGGGCUCAACCCAUAGCCUGCAUUUGAAACUGUAUUUCUUUAGGGCUGGG